GAUUGGAAGGUCUCGAAUGGGCUCUAUGGUAUAGGAAACUAGAAGCGAUAAGAACCAGAAGGUCUCCAAUGGGCUCUAUGGUAUAGGAAACUAGAAGCAACAAGAACCGGAAGGUCUCCAAUGGGCUCUAUGGUAUAGGAAACUAGAAGCAACAAGAACCGGAAGGUCUUCCAUGGGCUCUAUGGUAUAGGAAACUGGAAGCGACAGGGACCGGAAGGUCUCCAAUGGGCUUUAUGGUAUAGGAAACUAGAAGCGACGAGGACCGGAAGGUCUCCAAUGGGCUCUAUGGUAUAGGAAACUAGAAGCGAUGAGGACCAGAAGGUCUCCAAUGGGCUCUAUGGUAUAGGAAACUAGAAGUGACGAGGACCAGAAGGUCUCCAAUGGGCUUUAUGGUAUAGGAAACUAGAAGCGAUGAGGACCAGAAGGUCUCCAAUGGGCUCUAUGGUAUAGGAAACUAGAAGCGACGAGGACCGGAAGGUCUCCAAUGGGCUCUAUGGUAUAGGAAGCUAGAA